AUCCAUCUGACGAGUCCCAAAUAAGACCAAACGCGCGUCAGACUGGAU
rnacentral:hammerhead_ribozyme from 1 species